rnacentral:misc_RNA from 1 species
UGUCUGUUAAUAAAGUUAUGCAAUAGUAAUGUUUAUUCCAGAAAUCCAACUAUAAUAUUGUGUACUUUGAAAUAUUUAUAAAAUCAUUCACAUAUGUAGAUACCAAUUCUAUUGUAUAUGUAAGCUAUCUUCCAUUAGAAAAGCAAAUAUAUGCAUUUAUAAAUAAUUUUGUGCGUUUACCUAGCAUAUUACUUUUCAAAUCUCUGUAUAAAUGUUAACCUACCUUCUAAAAAUAUGUAAUGUGCUAAUGCACUGACAAUUGAUAUGUAUCAAACGUAGUGUCAAACUUAAAAAUGUGCACGUCGAACCCCUGUAUAUACAAUAAAAAAGUAUACAGACCUAUCGGUAUUUAUUUAUAAGAUACCAUCCUAAAUCUGUCUGUCAACGUAAAAUAUGGAAUCUGCAAAGAAACACGAAAAAUCUGUGAACUAUUUGACGACAUUGAGAAGUCCCAUGGCGGUCGUAAAAAAAAGGUCAGGGCCGUUGGAAAGAGCUCUUGAGGAAGUGAACGACGGUACAGCCGUAUCGGAAAUAUGGUCGUUGCCGUCAGAAGACCCACAUUGUCCAGAUGCCUUUAGCAUGCGUAAGCCAGUGAAUUUUGGAAGUAAGCUCUUUGAAGGAGCUCCUUCUCCAAAUAAACUGCGACGUCGCAGCACAAAAGACAAGGAAAAAAAACGCGAGCGCUGGCUUCUAACUCGAAAAACCUGGAGAUAUAUGACAGAUGCAGGCCGCAAGCUAAUUCCCGAUGGUUAUCAAACUGGGUCAUGUAAUCAUGACCUAAUUAAAGAUCAAUUUCAACGGGUGUGUUUAUCUGAACCAAGUUUUAUUUUAUGGAGUCGAAGAACAUCAUAUCCAGGAGCAUUCAGCAGUUCUAAGCGGAAAUUAAAACCAUUGUCGAGGCACGCAAGUGCCACCCGCAGAAAACAUGCAGUUGGUGCAACAAAAGAUUAUCAUAUUGCCGAUCGAGUCAUCGAAUUAUUACAGACGUAUCUUCAACUUCGUGAUGCAUACAAAACCACAACAUUACUUGGAACUAAAACGGUUCGGCCAGACCAAACAUCAUCUCCUAGUGCACAAAGGCCUAACUUUAAAAACAAGAGUGACAACCAUCAAGUAAUGUCAUCCGGCACAUCGAUUCAAAGCGAGCUUUUGUCCCAUCUUAAAUUGUUAUCUAAUAGCCCUAUAUUUGCACAUGAGGGAGUUCAGUUUAAGUUUGACAAUGCACACCUAGACAUUCUCGAAGACAAAGUUCUUUUGAAGAAAAUCUAUAGCGCACUUAAAAAACAGCAGCUUCAUCGAACGCUACAUUCCAAUGAUCCGUAUAUCGAUAAUAUUUCAACUUCAUUGUCUUGCUUAUUAAAAAAUGGAAUGCAAUUAUCUAGAGGUAUCAUUGAUAUAAACAAUAAGUUACUACAUGAAAAUUUUGUAUGUCUUAAGAAUUGUGAUACUACCCCCCUUUUAUCAAGCGCAAAAACAGAACUUUAUUUAGAUCUGAAUAAAGUCCCACAAAACGUUGAGUUUAAAAACGAAUGCCACUCGAACGGGCAGAUCGUUGAAAGAAUCCUAAAAACCUGUGGAACUCAAACGAACUUUAUUCAACUUAGCGAGCUAAAAACUUUGGCGCAGCAGUACAACCCUAUGGUAAAAAAUUGCAAUACUACUGAAGAGCCAAAUAAAAAUAACUGUUUAAAAUCUUCCAAUUUAAUAAGUAGGAAAAGUUCAAUUGACGAAGAUAUUUCUCAAUCAGUUAGCGAUACGAUUAAACGGUAUUUAAACAUGGCAAGAAAAAAAAGUAUGCAAGAUUCUGACUCAAACCGAUUUAAAUCGAUUAACUAUGACAAAAACUUGAGAAAUAUCAAAGCAAAGGGCGUAAUAAAUCCACCGGGAAUAAGUGCAGGAUUACACAAAGCUGUACAAACGUUAAAUGCUUGGCCUCUCAUAGCUUUGGAUUUUAUACGGGGAAACGAAUGUUCUUCAAAUCUUAAAAACGCUCACUUAGAAUGGUUAAGAUUAGAGGAUGAGCGAAGUCAGAUACAUUUAGAGUGGGAAAAAAAUCUAACAGAAAUAAGGAGUAAAGUGCACACAAAUCCACAAAUUGCAAGUCCGGGAAACAGCCAUACGUAUUCCAAGUGCAUUUCUGCACCUACUUCGCCGACUAGUCAUUCAAAGUUAGAAAAGGCUAUAAAGACUUCCAGCGGACUAAUAUCUUCGAGCUCUCAAUUUAUUUUAAAUAUUUUGCACGGACAUAGCAAUGCUGGACACAAUUUUAACACAUUUACAGACAAAUUCCUGGAUUCAAAUGGAAGGGUGAAUGGAAGAGUAACUAUUUAAUGUCCAAUUGGAGUUAAAUAUUAUAUUAAAGUUACCGAAAAACAUAUCAGAUCAGGGUCAUGCAACGGCAAGUAUGCAGAAGUCAAAAUCGUUAUCUAAUGUGGGCCAAUUUGUAACAAAACGAAUGUGGCGGAGUC